CACCCAGUCUCCGAGCCGGAUAUAUAGAGUGUCACGUUUGGGAGCCGAAAGACCGGAGCCGUUUCCUUGUGGCUGGAGAGCUUCCCGUAGCCUCGGGGAAGGAGCAGGAUUUAGAGGACCACUAGUUGAACCCCAUCCUCGUGCUGGAGGAACAGGAACCUCUUUCAGGAGCUAUAAAAGAAAGGGAGGAAUCAUGUCCACGAUUGCAGCUUUCUAUGGCGGCAAGUCCAUUCUCAUCACGGGGGCCACGGGCUUUCUGGGCAAAGUGCUGAUGGAGAAGCUGUUUCGCACCAGCCCAGACCUGAAAGUCAUUUACAUCCUUGUGAGGCCCAAGGCUGGCCAGACACUGCAGCAGAGGGUUUUCCAGAUCCUAAACAGUAAGACAUGCUGUGCAACUUAACGUCACUGCCACCCGGCAGCUCUUGCUUAUGGCUAGUCAGAUGCCAAAGCUGGAAGCCUUUAUACAUAUCUCUACUGCCUAUUCAAAUUGUAACCUGAAGCACAUCGAUGAAGUUAUCUAUCCGUGCCCUGUGGAGCCAAAAAAAAUCAUUGAUUCCC
rnacentral:sRNA from 1 species